rnacentral:rRNA from 1 species
GAAACACGGACCAAGAAGUCUAGAAAAUGCGCGAGUCAAAGGGCUGGCUAAACCCCAAGGCGAAACGAAAGUGAAGAGAACUUUUCACAAUGGGCCGAUCCGGUUCGAGGUGCGCGAGGCGACCGACCAAUCCUUCGCGGGUGCGGACGACUGUCUCUCCCCUCGAUUUGUCUCCCUAAUAUGAGGACGGCGCAGGCCCGGGGCCCGCACGCGACCUUUCCGCCAUCCAAUGCCGACUGGGUUUAUCCGGACGUUCGACGCUCAAUAAAGGGAGGCGGCGGGAGCGCGCGCGUUUUCCGCUUUCGAACCCUCUCUUCACGGGGGGGGCUAGGAGCGGCGGCGCGCGCGUCUCUCGUCGUGUUCUCAACGUUUUAGUCGUUCGUCUGGUAUUCGGUUCGCUGGCGGGAACGAGCAGCGGGUUCUCUGAGCGCAUUUUCCAGGACCCGAAAGAUGGUGAUCUAUGCCUGGCCAGGAUGAAGCCAGAGGAAACUCUGGUGGAGGUCCGUAGCGAUUCUGACGUGCAAAUCGAUCGUCGGAGCUGGCA